UACGUAGGUGGCAAGCGUUGUCCGGAUUUACUGGGCGUAAAGAGCGCGCAGGCGGUCGUUCAAGUCGAGUGUGAAAGCCCCCGGCUCAACUGGGGAGGGUCACUCGAUACUGAUCGACUCGAAGGCAGAAGAGGGAAGCGGAAUUCCCGGUGUAGUGGUGAAAUGCGUAGAUAUCGGGAGGAACACCAGUGGCGAAGGCGGCUUUCUGGUCUGCUCUUGACGCUGAGGCGCGAAAGCUAGGGUAGCAAACGGGAUUAAGAAACCCGGAG
rnacentral:rRNA from 1 species